UACGGAAGGCAGCAGUGGGGAAUAUUGCACAAUGGGCGCAAGCCUGAUGCAGCCAUGCCGCGUGUAUGAAGAAGGCCUUCGGGUUGUAAAGUACUUUCAGUCGUGAGGAAGGUGUUAAGGUUAAUAACCUUAGCAAUUGACGUUAGCGACAGAAGAAGCACCGGCUAACUCCGUGCCAGCAGCCGCGGUAAUACGGAGGGUGCGAGCGUUAAUCGGAAUUACUGGGCUAAAGGGCACGCAGGCGGUUAAUUAAGUUGGAUGUGAAAUCCCCGGGCUUAACCUGGGAAUGGCAUUCAAGACUGGUUAGCUAGAGUCUUGUAGAGGGGGUAGAAUUCCAUGUGUAGCGGUGAAAUGCGUAGAGAUGUGGAGGAAUACCGGUGGCGAAGGCGGCCCCUGGGACAAAGACUGACGCUCAUGUGCGAAAGCGUGGGGAGCGAAACAGGAUUAGAUACC
rnacentral:rRNA from 1 species